GAUAAUACCUUACUACUUGGAUAACCGUGGUAAUUCUAGAGCUAAUACAUGCUAAAAAUCCCGACUUCGGAAGGGUUGUAUUUAUUAGAUUAAAAACCAAUGCCCCUCGGGGCUCUCUGGUGAAUCAUGAUAACUAGUCGAAUCGACAGGCCUUGUGCCGGCGAUGGCUCAUUCAAAUUUCUUCCCUAUCAACUUUCGAUGUUUGGGUAUUGGCCAAACAUGGUGGCAACGGGUAACGGAGGGUUAGGGCUCGACCCCGGAGAAGGAGCCUGAGAAACGGCUACUACAUCCAAGGAAGGCAGCAGGCGCGCAAAUUACCCAAUCCCGACACGGGGAGGUAGUGACAAUAAAUACUGAUACAGGGCUCUUUUGGGUCUUGUAAUCGGAAUGAGUACAAUUUAAAUCCCUUAACGAGGAACAAUUGGAGGGCAAGUCUGGUGCCAGCAGCCGCGGUAAUUCCAGCUCCAAUAGCGUAUAUUAAAGUUGUUGUGGUUAAAAAGCUCGUAGUUGAACCUUGGGCCUGGCUGGCCGGUCCGCCUCACCGCGUGCACUGGUCCGGCCGGGCCUUUCCCUCUGCGGAACCCCAUGCCCUUCACUGGGCGUGGCGGGGAAACAGGACUUUUACUUUGAAAAAAUUAGAGUGCUCAAGGCAGGCCUAUGCUCGAAUACAUUAGCAUGGAAUAAUGAAAUAGGACGUUGCGGUUCUAUUUUGUUGGUUUCUAGGACCGCCGUAAUGAUUAAUAGGGACAGUCGGGGGCAUCAGUAUUCAAUUGUCAGAGGUGAAAUUCUUGGAUUUAUUGAAGACUAACUACUGCGAAAGCAUUUGCCAAGGAUGUUUUCAUUAAUCAGGAACGAAAGUUAGGGGAUCGAAGACGAUCAGAUACCGUCGUAGUCUUAACCAUAAACUAUGCCGACUAGGGAUCGGAC
rnacentral:rRNA from 1 species